rnacentral:rRNA from 1 species
CUGACCUCGAAUCAGGUGGGACUACCCGCUGAACUUAAGCAUAUCAAUAAGCGGAGGAAAAGAAACUAACAAGGAUUCCCUUAGUAACUGCGAGUGAAGUGGGAUGAGCUCAAAUUUAAAAUCUGGUAGUCUUUGGCUGCCCGAGUUGUAAUCUAGAGAAGUGUUUUCUGUGCUGGACUGUGUUUAAGUUUCCUGGAUAUGGAACAUCAUAGAGGGUGAGAAUCCCGUCCUUAACACAGACACCCCAGUGCUCUGUGAUGCACUCUCGACGAGUCGAGUUGUUUGGGAUUGCAGCUCAAAAUGGGAGGUAAAUUCCUUCUAAAGCUAAAUAUUGGCGAGAGACCGAUAGCGAACAAGUACCGUGAGGGAAAGAUGAAAAGCACUUUGGAAAGAGAGUUAAACAGUACGUGAAAUUGUUAAAAGGGAAACAAUUGAAGUCAGUUGCAUCUACUUGGACUCAGCCUUACUUUGGUUUGGUGCAUUUCCUUGUGGAUGGGCCAGUGUUCAUGUUGAUUCCUGGAAAAGGGGCUAGGGAAUGUGGCUCUUUUGGGAGUGUUAUAGCCCUGGCUCAUAUACAGUAAUUAAUAUGGAGUGGUACAGCAUG